rnacentral:rRNA from 1 species
UACGAAGGGUGCAAGCGUUAAUCGGAAUUACUGGGCGUAAAGGGUGCGUAGGCGGUUAUUUAAGUCUGUCGUGAAAUCCCCGGGCUCAACCUGGGAAUGGCGAUGGAUACUGGGCAGCUAGAGUGUGUCAGAGGAUGGUGGAAUUCCCGGUGUAGCGGUGAAAUGCGUAGAUAUCGUUUGGAACGCCAACGGUGAAAACAGACAGCUGGGAGUGUGCUGACGCUGAGACACGAAAGCCAGGGGAGCGAACGGG